GUAAGGAAUAUUGGACAAUGGGGGAAACCCUGAUCCAGCCAUGCCGCGUGAGUGAAGAAGGCCUUCGGGUUGUAAAGCUCUUUCAGAUGUGAAGAUGAUGACGGUAACAUCAGAAGAAGCUCCGGCUAACUUCGUGCCAGCAGCCGCGGUAAUACGAAGGGAGCGAGCGUUGUUCGGAAUCACUGGGCGUAAAGAGUGCGUAGGCGGUUAUACAAGUCAGGAGUGAAAUCCCAGGGCUCAACCCUGGAAUUGCUUUUGAAACUGUAUAGCUAGAGUCCCGGAGGGGUUAAUGGAAUUCCGAGUGUAGAGGUGAAAUUCGCAGAUAUUCGGAGGAACACCAGUGGCGAAGGCGAUUAACUGGACGGGCACUGACGCUGAGGCACGAAAGCGUGGGGAUCAAACAGGAUUAGAUACCCGUGUAGUCC
rnacentral:rRNA from 1 species